GACGAACGCUGGCGGCGUGCUUAACACAUGCCAGUCGAACGCUGAAGCUCAGCUUUUGUUGGGUGGAUGAGUGGCGAACGGGUGAGUAACACGUGAGUAACCUGCCCCCUUCUUUGGGAUAGCGCCCGGAAACGGGUGCUAAUACUGGAUAUUCACUGGUCUUCGCAUGGGGGUUGGUGGAAAGGGUUUUUCUGGUGGGGGAUGGGCUCGCGGCCUAUCAGCUUGUUGGUGGGGUGAUGGCCUACCAAGGCUUUGACGGGUAGCCGGCCUGAGAGGGUGACCGGUCACAUUGGGACUGAGAUACGGCCCAGACUCCUACGGGAGGCAGCAGUGGGGAAUAUUGCACAAUGGGCGCAAGCCUGAUGCAGCGACGCCGCGUGAGGGAUGGAGGCCUUCGGGUUGUGAACCUCUUUCGCUCAUGGUCAAGCCGCAACAAUGGUUGUGGUGAGGGUAGUGGGUAAAGAAGCGCCGGCUAACUACGUG
rnacentral:rRNA from 1 species